ACGGCUCAGUAACACGUAUUCAACAUGCCCAGGGGACGUGGAUAACCUCGGGAAACUGAGGAUAAACCGCGAUAGGUCAUCACUUCUGGAAUGGGUAAUGACUUAAACCUAUAUGGCCCCUGGAUUGGACUGCGGCCGAUCAGGCUGUUGGUGAGGUAAUGGCCCACCAAACCUGUAACCGGUACGGGCUCUGAGAGGAGGAGCCCGGAGAUGGGCACUGAGACAAGGGCCCAGGCCCUAUGGGGCGCAGCAGGCGCGAAACCUCUGCAAUAGGCGAAAGCUUGACAGGGUUACUCUGAGUGAUUUCCGUUAAGGAGAUCUUUUGGCACCUCUAAAAAUGGUGCAAAAUAAGGGGUGGGCAAGUCUGGUGUCAGCCGCCGCGGUAAUACCAGCACCCCGAGUGGUCGGGACGUUUAUUGGGCCUAAAGCAUCCGUAGCCGGUUCUACAAGUCUUCCGUUAAAUCCACCUGCUUAACAGAUGGGCUGCGGAAGAUACUAUAGAGCUAGGAGGCGGGAGAGGCAAGCGGUACUCGAUGGGUAGGGGUAAAAUCCGUUGAUCCAUUGAAGACCACCAGUGGCGAAGGCGGCUUGCCAGAACGCGCUCGACGGUGAGGGAUGAAAGCUGGGGGAGCAAACCGGAUUAGAUACCCGGGUAGUCCCAGCUGUAAACGAUGCAGACUCGGUGAUGAAUUGGCUUAUUGCUAAUUCAGUGCCGCAUGGAAGCCGAUAAGUUUGCCGCCUGAGGAGUACGGUCGCAAGACUGAAACUUAAAGGAAUUGGCGGGGGAG
rnacentral:rRNA from 1 species